UGCCAGCCGCCGCGGUAAUACGAAGGGGGCUAGCGUUGUUCGGAAUUACUGGGCGUAAAGGGCGUGUAGGCGGCUUAUCCAGUUAGGUGUGAAAUCCCCAGGCUCAACCUGGGAACUGCACUUAAUACUGAUAAGCUAGAGAACCAGAGGGGGUAGUGGAAUUCCAAGUGUAGAGGUGAAAUUCGUAGAUAUUUGGAGGAACACCAGUGGCGAAGGCGACUACCUGGCUGGCUUCUGACGCUGAGGCGCGAAAGCGUGGGGAGCGAACGGGAUUAGAUA
rnacentral:rRNA from 1 species